ACCUAAGCCAAAAUUGGCCCUUGAAGAUGUUGCUACUAUAAUUGGUGACCUUGAAAUCCCGCAGCCAGUAACGGAUUUACUGCUAAAUGGCCCUUCGAAUGUUAUGCAACUGCCACCUAAAUUGACUGAUAUUGCACCUGAAAUAGAUAGAGCACUAUACCCUCUUGAUUGCUCCUCUAAAGAAAAAAUUUGCUGGGACAUCAUCCGUUCUCGGAUUACUGAUAAAAAACACCACCCACGGAAAGAGGCCAAGGACAAGGCCCUUCUCAGCUAUACAAGAAACUGGAUGACGAAUGAACGUGUUAUAUGCACUAAGGAUGAUAAGUCCCGCAAAGUGGUCCUCAUUGAGGAAAGUAAGUGCCAUGACCUCCUAACUACGUUUAUAAGCCAAUCAAAAUCUG
rnacentral:lncRNA from 1 species